rnacentral:rRNA from 1 species
UAAUACAUGCAAGUCGAGCGAGCGGAACCAACAGAUUUACUUCGGUAAUGACGUUGGGAAAGCGAGCGGCGGAUGGGUGAGUAACACGUGGGGAACCUGCCCCUAAGUCUGGGAUACCAUUUGGAAACAGGUGCUAAUACCGGAUAAUAAAGCAGAUCGCAUGAUCAGCUUUUGAAAGGCGGCGUAAGCUGUCGCUAAGGGAUGGCCCCGCGGUGCAUUAGCUAGUUGGUAAGGUAACGGCUUACCAAGGCGACGAUGCAUAGCCGAGUUGAGAGACUGAUCGGCCACAUUGGGACUGAGACACGGCCCAAACUCCUACGGGAGGCAGCAGUAGGGAAUCUUCCACAAUGGACGCAAGUCUGAUGGAGCAACGCCGCGUGAGUGAAGAAGGUUUUCGGAUCGUAAAGCUCUGUUGUUGGUGAAGAAGGAUAGAGGUAGUAACUGGCCUUUAUUUGACGGUAAUCAACCAGAAAGUCACGGCUAACUACGUGCCAGCAGCCGCGGUAAUAC